GGGAGCGUCGUCCAGCAUGGCACAGGAAGCCCUGGAAAGGUAGGACGGCAGGCUCCAGAGGAAUGCUACAGGUUCGCUGAUCCCGUGAGGGGGAUGAUGUCAGUCUGGAGCACCGGGGGAACCUGUAGGCCGUGGGUUCAAGUCCCACCGCUCCCACCA
rnacentral:tRNA from 1 species